rnacentral:rRNA from 1 species
CUACGGGCCGCACCAGUGGGGAAUAUUGCACAAUGGAGGAAACUCUGAUGCAGCAACGCCGCGUGGAGGAUGACACUUUUCGGAGCGUAAACUCCUUUUAUAUAGGAAGAAGAUGACGGUACUAUAUGAAUAAGCGCCGGCCAACUCCGUGCCAGCAGCCGCGGUAAUACGGAGGGCGCAAGCGUUACUCGGAAUCACUGGGCGUAAAGAGCGUGUAGGCGGAUUAAAAAGUCAGAAGUGAAAUCCUAUAGCUUAACUAUAGAACUGCUUCUGAAACUCUUAAUCUAGAAUAUGGGAGAGGUAGAUGGAAUUUCUGGUGUAGGGGUAAAAUCCGUAGAGAUCAGAAGGAAUACCGAUUGCGAAGGCGAUCUACUAGAACAUUAUUGACGCUGAGACGCGAAAGCGUGGGGAGCAAACAGGAUUAGAUACCCGAGUAGUC